rnacentral:sRNA from 1 species
CUCCCAUUAAGCAGCACCCUCUUCUCAUGUACCUGAUGUGUUUUCCACCCACAGAUUCUUCAGAAGCCAACCCCAGAACUCAAGCAUCAGCUGGCUGCUUUCUCCAAAAGAGUUGCCGGUGCUGUGACUGAGCUCAUCCAGGCAGCAGAAGCCAUGAAAGGAACAGAGUGGGUGGAUCCAGAAGACCCAACCGUCAUUGCAGAAACCGAGUUACUGGGAGCUGCAGCAUCCAUUGAAGCCGCUGCCAAGAAGUUAGAGCAACUGAAGCCGAGAG